AAGCGCGUGUCAGCAAAGGGAAGCGAUACAAAACCGGCCUUCUAAGCCGAUGGUCACAGGUUCGAAUCCUGUCGGGAUCGCCA
rnacentral:tRNA from 1 species